rnacentral:lncRNA from 1 species
AGGGCUUGGGGGAGGCCAAAGGCGACCUCUGAGCUCUUGUCCUUACCCUGGGAGAGUAUGGAACUCAGAGAAAUCAUCUGACCCGGGUAAUGUAUGACAACAAGCAGGAAAGCUUUGCUUGAGAAAAAAAAUGUCUUGUUUUAAAUGCUGAGGCUUUGGGACCACAGUUUCAUGAUGAACAAACAUUCACUGAACCCCCUACCUUAUGCCAGAGGCUUUUCCAUAAUUAUCUCCUUUAAUUGUCACAAAAAAACUCGGCAAGUGUCAGAGUUAUUGCCAUGCUACAGAAGAAACAUCGAGACUUAGAGAGGUGGGACAGCUUUGCCGAGACCACACUGAAGAGCGUGGCUCACUCUGUGGCAUUGCAGACAAUACAAGGAAAGAUGGUUUAACCUUAGGAGAAUUGAAUCCCAGGGGCAGCACUGUGACUCAGAAACCAAAAGGGACCAUUUCUUAUUUGAAAUCAGCCAUGCAACUUCACCGGUUUUACAAUGACUCUAGCCACCUCUUCCUUAGCAGACACUUCCGGGGCUACUACUGCUUGUUAUCUGGGUCCUUUCCCUUUUGACCACAGAUCCUCCUGGAAUCUCCAGUGUGGCUGGAAUGGCUUUAACCCCAAGGCCGUAUUUGGAAGCCACUUGUUUAAAAUUAAGGAGCCAGAAGCUAGAAAGAGCUCCUGUCUCUGAUUCACCACCUAGGGGAGCACUAUCUAACUAUCAGAAAUUUUUAUCAGCAGGAAAUAAACUUCUAUUGUGUUAAGCCUCCAAGAUUCCAGGGUUUAUCCAUUAAAAAACAACCAAAAUACUAACAAAUAGAUUAUUCAUUCAUGAUGGUAACAUUUGCCAUACAUUGACUUAAUACCAAACACUGCAUAAGUAGUAUAUCAUUUAAUUGUCUUAUCAGCUGCAUGAAGUAGGUAUCAUUCUCCUUAUUUUAUAGAUAAGGAAGGAGUCUAUGUUUCACA